rnacentral:rRNA from 1 species
UACGAAGGGGGCUAGCGUUGCUCGGCAUCACUGGGCGUAAAGGGUGCGUAGGCGGGUCUUUAAGUCAGGGGGGAAAUCCUGGAGCUCAACUCCAGAACUGCCUUUGAUACUGAAGAUCUUGAGUUCGGGAGAGGUGAGUGGAACUGCGAGUGUAGAGGUGAAAUUCGUAGAUAUUCGCAAGAACACCAGUGGCGAAGGCGGCUCACUGGCCCGAUACUGACGCUGAGGCACGAAAGCGUGGGGAGCAAACAGG